AGUCUUGCUAUAUAUAACCCUAACAUAGUUGCUUUGGGGCAACAAACAAAACUUUAAAAUGCCCAUUUUACAAGAUAAACUAUAAAAAAUUAUUCAUGGCUGCAUAUCAAUGUGCACAUUGUUUGAAGUUUUCCUCCACAGUCCUUGAUACGUUAGAUGUAAUAUUCUGGAGGGGGAUAGAAGGGCUUCAUUUUUAUGUUCCUUUUACCUAAUAGGUAGAGAUUAAUUGAGUCAUAGUAAUUGUGAAUGUAAUUCAAUGUUUUAAGAAUGCGGCAUUGCCAUUUUGAGUAUGGAAAAAUGCAGUUGGUUAAAUAUACUUAACAGAUGAGUAAAAUCAGGUAUGUUUUAUCUGUUUGGUAAAAUAAACAGUCAGAUCACUGUUUUCCUCAAUUAAAGAUGAAAGGCUUAUGGUUAUCAUGUUACCUUUGUCAAAAUCAUCCACAAAAAUACUCUCUGUGAAAUCUUGAUUUUAGUUUACAUUACAAGUAAAAUAAUUACAGACCUGUUUUUUCAAUCAAUUCUUCUUGAAGACAGGAAAAUGCAAAAUUAAAGUAAUUUUACUCAGAUGUUUGCUUAUUCAAAUGUGUCUAAUACAGUAUACAUGGAAAUAUUUUAAGGAGAAAGCAAGGCUAAAUGGCAUAUAGCCUGCUUAUUCAAAUAAGACAGAAUAAAAGCUGCUACUCUCAUUAUGUGUUAUUUACGAACCAGAAUUUCAACACAUAACAAUUUUUGGAUGUAAACUAAAAUGUUCUAUUAUUUAAGCCAAGAAUACAGGCAGGAACUAUCAUCAUGGUGGUAGGGGGAGGGGUGGCAUCAUGGCAACAAAUUGGAAAAGAACCAUUUGAACCUAAUAGGAAUGGACAGUUAUUUUCGUUCUUUUGAAGAAAUUCUGUAGAUCAGGCUGUCAAAUUAUUUAGUAGGGAAAAGUGAGAAUGCAUGUUUUUCGAAUCUGGAAUGACCUAUCACCUGUACUGUGAAACAAAUUGGAUAGCGAGUGAGGGUAAAGGUUUAUUGACUAUAAUGGGAAAAUGUCAAAGAUUUUAGUUAAAAAAAUUUUUAAGGGAUGGAUUCUUAACCAGGAGUGGCCACCAAAUUACUGUGAAGUUUUAAAAUGCAGAUGCCUCUGGCCCCUCCUCUAAGGGCCCUACGCCACCAGCACCAGGAGCUGGGUGGUCGCGGGGAGCUAACCGACCCUCCUG
rnacentral:lncRNA from 1 species